rnacentral:rRNA from 1 species
CAGUGAUCCUGCGCCGAAGAUUGCCGGGGCUAAAACUUACUACCGAAGCUACGGCAUCAGUAAUGAUGGGUAGGGGAGCUUCCCAUACGGGUUGAAGCAUGACCGUAAGGACAUGUGGACAGUAUGGGAGUGAGAAUGUUGGCAUGAGUA